rnacentral:misc_RNA from 1 species
GAUGAAGAACGUAGCGAAAUACGAUAAGUAAUGUGAAUUGCAGAAUUCAGUGAAUCAUCGAAUCUUUGAACGCACCUUGCGCUCCUUGGUAUUCCGAGGAGCAUGCCUGUUUGAGUGUCAUUAAUAUAUCAACCUCUUCAGCUUAUGCUUGUUGAGUGUUGGAUGGUGGGGGUUUGCUGGUGUCUUAUGAAGUCAGCUCCUCUGAAAUGCAUUAGCGGAACAAUUUGUUGACCGUUCAUUGGUGUGAUAAAAAUAUCUACGCUAUUGACGUCAGUCAGUUCAGCUUCUAACAGUCCAUUGACUUGGACAAAUUUUUCAUUAAUGUGACCUCAAAUCAGGUAGGACUACCCGCUGAACUUAAGCAUAUCAAUAAGCGGAGGA